rnacentral:tRNA from 1 species
UAGCUCAAAGAGCACUAGAUUUGAAAUCCAAAAGCCUGAGUUCAAAUCCCAG